GGAAAAGAAUAUUAAAAUCUCAAACAUCACAUGAAUUUAAAAAAGGAUUUAAUUAAUGAAACUUUUGGAGUUAGUAAACAUCUUAUGUCUGAAAGCAUUUAGGGCACAUAUUGCUAUAAUAGAAACUAUCCAAUUCUGAUCUCAUAUUUUACUGUAAACAUUAACAUCAUCAGGAUGAUGAGAGAAGGCUCAAUUGGUACUUUAAGAAUGAUGGAAGGAGACUUCUGAUGGUGGAGUCAAGAGGGCAGAGUAGAAGAAAGGAAAGCUCAAACCACUAUGAGAAUCCUCUCCAACCAACCUUAAAAUAACCCCUCAAAAUGAAUACUGGAGUGAAAGAACUAACAAGGAGUUGGAGUGAAGCAACUUUCAUACAGAGGACAACUUGAAAGGUAGGCAGAAAGGGUCUGGUUCACUAGAUGAGAGGAGAACACAGCUUGCAGGAGGCGACACCAAGGAAUACCAGUUUGAGCCAACAACAAGCCUCACUACCCCACAUCUACCAUUCUAGGUUUUGAACCUGGACCCAAACCAAUGUAAAGACCUUGAGACACUGACUAAGUCAACAGCAGUGCAAUGCCAUGCACACCUUUUAAAAUUCCAAGUCCCAGUCCAAGCCUGAAGUGAGGCCUCAGUACAGGGAAGUUCACAUGUACCUCACUGGUACAGGCCAAAAGGGAGGCUCUAAGUCACUGCCUGAGCCCAAACUGAGGCCCCCAGAUCCCAGAACAAGGCAACAGGUCAGGCACUAUAAUAAAGAAUAAAACUGACUGGAAACUGUUACUGCUUGAGACUAGAGAAGGUGAACUGAAGGGAACCUGUUUCUGAUUGAAAUGGAGAAAUGGUAAACUGAGGAAACUUUAACUUGUUGAACUAGAGAGGACAAACUGAGGGGAAACUGUUUCUUCACAAUGGCUGUUGUUCCCUGGCUGGUUGUGACUUGAGAGGCUGCCUACAGGGACCUGAUGCUGCUUAUUAGUAAUGGAGGGAGAACAAAAAUGCUGGGGAGCAAAGAUGCCACCACACACAGGGAUACAGAUAUAAACAUUGUGACAUGGAAAGAAAGGGCAGGAGCACAGGUGCAGCCCCAAGUCAUCAGUCCUCUGAAGCUGUUCUGUCUGAGGGGGGUCCCAGGCACUGAAGCUGCUCUUGCUGUUGGGUCACAAAGUUAAGGAGCAGCAUGCAGAGAGAGCUGGACUGAGCCCUGGAGGAGGAUACAAAGCAGUUCACCAUCUCAUUCAUCCAUCCCAUGUCUUACUUUCACUCUAUGAUUUCAUCUUAGUUUAGCUCAUGCUGUUCUGGAGGCUUACAUGGUUUCUGGAGUUCUCCAUCCCUACUGUUUUCUUCAAGACAGAAAUAAUGUAACAUCUGCACUAGUGUAGGAACACUGCAAGGGCAAGGACUAUGCCUGGAUCUACAUGACUGCCCAGAUUUACUGUUUGUUUCUGCCAUUUAAAUGUUCCCAACAACUGGGUUGCAUCUGUCAUUGAGCAUUCAAUUAUUGCUCUCCUAAAGCCUAUCCUCAGCAUCAAUGGUCAAAUUUAAGGUUAUGAUAUGAAAAUAAAAAAAAAUCAUUAUGACCUUGUGUGGCUGGU
rnacentral:lncRNA from 1 species